CGGGGAACUCCUCCGUCUCGUCGUCGUCCCCGCGCCGAGCCGCAGGCACGAGCAGCACAAGGAAGCCGCACAGGACGAGGACGAGGAGGAGCGGCCCGGCGCGCGGUCCUGUGCCGCAUUGAGCUCCUGCCAUGAGCAGGAGCCGCCGCCGCCGCCGCGUCUUCAGUGGCUGGAGCAGGAACCCCGGCCAACGCCCAUGCGUGCGAGCAAGACGGCGAGACAGUGGGAGAGAGCAGCAGCCAAGCAAGCAGGAGCAGCUAGAGUGUGUGAGAGACUGAGAGCUCGUUCACUUCACUCCACACUCCACAGUCCACAGCGCUAUCUGCUAUGCACUCGGCUGGGCUUCCGUUGCUGCAGGUGAAAAAAAAACGAGGUGAAGAAAUACCAAGGCCAACUGACUGACACCAUCAUCGCCAUACCAUACCAGUGGCGCUGCAUGUCUUUCCUUCCUCGUGACUCUUCUGCGCAUGCAUAUCAUUCGUAACAGGACGCCAUUGCAACCACGGAGCUCGUUUCAUAAUUUUUUUUGAAGCACUGCAGAUUGUUUUUCGAACUGUGCAGCUAUGAUAUUAUGUCUGCAGUAUCUGCUUGAUGAAUGCUCAAAGAAGAAGGUGGUCAGUGAGGA
rnacentral:misc_RNA from 1 species